UAUCGACUUAUUUUCAAUCGAACUGCUUGAGUAUCGAGUCACAUUUUUGAUCCAAGUUGAUUGAAUUUAUCAUAGCAUCACAACACCUGGCAACACUCCCACCAGAACCUGGCCGGCUGGUCUCGAGCUUUUCUCAGAGUCUCUCAACCAACUCAGAGUCGAUAGCGCACACUGCACCGGUUUGGCGUCGUCGUCGUCGUCGCUCAAACCAACCUGUGGUGUAUGCAACGGGCGGCCGUCUUGACUGCUUUUGGCGUCGUCGGCGUAGGCUCGCUAGCAUAAGCUGCUUCUGCUGCUCAGUUUGCAUCCAUCGCUCGCUCCGAAAGCACCUUACGCGCGCGCGCUCCCUCUUGCAACGGACUUGAGUCUUUAUGGUCUUGCGUUUCAGUGAUACGCGUUCGUGCGCUUCUGGAUAUAGUUUGCUGAAAGGAGUUUGAAGUGAAGUUUGUAAUUUUGAAUUGAAAAUUUAUAAAUUAGAUUUAGAAAACAAGAUUCUAAGUUUCUCAAAAAAAAAAGUGUACUUGAAACUGUUCUUGAACCGAAGCCAACUAUUGGCAGAGUGCUGAGACAACAGUUCUUUAUGUUAUUUUUAAGCAUAAACCAGUAGGUGAAAAUAGAUGAAACUUUGUUUUGGUUUAGUGCAACUCGGGGAAAGGGAGCUGACGACGUGUGAGAGUGUGUUUUCUUUUGUUCUAGCGAAAUGUUUAGUUUAUUGAACUGAACAGAAAACUAAAAACAAAUCUAAUAAGGAAAAUAUCAUUGUUCAAA